CUGGGCACCGAGCGCUCGCGCUCACCCCCACCCUAUGCUUCGCCCCGAAACGCACUCGGCGUCGUGGGCCCCCUUCGGGGCCCCUGCCGGAACCCAACCCUGAACAACCUGCAGCCUGAAGUUAAAAGCAAACAGUUA
rnacentral:misc_RNA from 1 species